AACCCAGUAGCCUAGUGGUUAGAGCGUCCCCCUCAAAAGCGGGUGGUCGUGGGUACUAUCCCCUGUUGAGUCA